rnacentral:rRNA from 1 species
GACGAACGCUGGCGGCGUGCUUAACACAUGCAAGUCGAACGGAAAGGCCCUGCUUUUGUGGGGUGCUCGAGUGGCGAACGGGUGAGUAACACGUGAGUAACCUGCCCUUGACUUUGGGAUAACUUCCGGAAACUGGGGCUAAUACCGGCUAGGAGCUCCUGCUGCAUGGUGGGGGUUGGAAAGUUUCGGCGGUUGGGGAUGGACUCGCGGCUUAUCAGCUUGUUGGUGGGGUAGUGGCUUACCAAGGCUUUGACGGGUAGCCGGCCUGAGAGGGUGAACGGCCACAUUGGGACUGAGAUACGGCCCAGACUCCUACGGGAGGCAGCAGUGGGGAAUAUUGCACAAUGGGCGGAAGCCUGAUGCAGCAACGCCGCGUGCGGGAUGACGGCCUUCGGGUUGUAAACCGCUUUCGCCUGUGACGAAGCGUGAGUGACGGUAAUGGGUAAAGAAGCACCGGCUAACUACGUG